GACGCCACGGCUGCCAUUUUUUCCCUCGCCCUGCGGUUCCCCGCUGCUCCGUGGCUACGGCGUCCGCUCGGAGGAGGCCGGCCCAAAGAGAAAUGCCUGCGCUCAAGAGCCCCUGCAGUGAGGCCAGCUGUCUGGGGGACUUCCGUGGAGCUUUUCACGUGCGCCCGCCCGGUCACCCUCCCCCGCACGGGGGGCGAGACUCCUCCGUUCCUGGCCCAUUCAUUGUAGCCAUGGCGAAGCCGAGGCCGGAUAGAGCGGCCGGGCGCGUUAGAACUGGGACCAGCUGAGAUGCAAGAUGGACAGGAGGCAUUCCUGCGGCAGGUGGGGGGAGCAGGCAAGGGCGGCUGCCAGGGGAUGCUGCAGAAAGGGGCGGAGGGCUGUUCGCCUAUCCAGGUGUGCGCCAAGUGGGGCCACGUGUUAAACCCGAGAGGCCCAGGGGAGGCCUGCCUGGCGGCCUUACAAAGCUCGGAGACCUCGAGUCUUCAGACACGGGGUGGUCUGAAAUUAAGACUUAACUGAAAACAAGUCACGGUGUGAUAACACACCGUUGGAGUGUCAGCGUAUUCGGGGCAGUGCCCUCUUUCCCAGACCCCUCGGGGUGCAGCCUCCCUCCAGAGCCGUGUUCCCCGCACACUGGCCCUGCGUGCUGUAAAUAUGGACUGUUACCCGCCCUGUACCCGCCGCUGUGAAUGAAGCACGCGUCUCUCUGGUUUACUUGUUAUCAUUUCAGAGACUUCCCUUUCUUUUCUUUUUAAAUAAAUGACACGAACUGUUGAUA